rnacentral:rRNA from 1 species
UACGGGGGGGAGCAAGCGUUGUUCGGAAUUACUGGGCGUAAAGGGUGUCUAGGCGGCCUUGUAAGUCGGGGGUGAAAUCCACUGGCUCAACCAGUGACGUGCCUUCGAAACUGCUAGGCUUGAGUAUGGCAGAGGAGAGCGGAAUUCCAGGUGUAGCGGUGAAAUGCGUAGAUAUCUGGAAGAACACCGGUGGCGUAGGCGGCGCUCUGGGCCAAUACUGACGCUGAAGCACGAAAGCCAGGGGAGACAAACGGGG